AUUGAACGCUGGCGGUAUGCUUAACACAUGCAAGUCGAACGGCAGCAUGGUCUAGCUUGCUAGACUGAUGGCGAGUGGCGGACGGGUGAGUAACGCGUAGGAAUAUGCCUUGAAGAGUGGGACAACUUGGGGAAACUCAAGCUAAUACUGCAUGUACUCGAGAGAGUAAAGCUGGGGACCUUUAGGCCUGGCGCUUUAAGAUUAGCCUGCGUCCGAUUAGCUAGUUGGUAGGGUAAAGGCCUACCAAGGCGACGAUCGGUAGCUGGUCUGAGAGGAUGAUCAGCCACACUGGAACUGAGAGACGGUCCAGAAUCCUACGGGAGGCAGCAGUGGGGAAUAUUGGACAAUGGGGGGAACCCUGAUCCAGCAAUGCCGCGUGUGUGAAGAAGGCCUGAGGGUUGUAAAGCACUUUCAGUGGGGAGGAGGUUUGGAAGGUUAAGAGCUAUUCAAAUGGACGUUACCCACAGAAGAAGCACCGACUAACUCCGUGCCAGCCGCCGCAGUAA
rnacentral:rRNA from 1 species